rnacentral:rRNA from 1 species
AGUGAACGCUGGCGGUAGGCCUAACACAUGCAAGUCGAACGGCAGCACAGUAAGAGCUUGCUCUUACGGGUGGCGAGUGGCGGACGGGUGAGGAAUACAUCGGAAUCUACUUUUUCGUGGGGGAUAACGUAGGGAAACUUACGCUAACACCGCAUACGACCUACGGGUGAAAGCAGGGGAUCUUCGGACCUUGCGCGAUUGAAUGAGCCGAUGUCGGAUUAGCUAGUUGGCGGGGUAAAGGCCCACCAAGGCGACGAUCCGUAGCUGGUCUGAGAGGAUGAACAGCCACACUGGAACUGAGACACGGUCCAGACUCCUACGGGAGGCAGCAGUGGGGAAUAUUGGACAAUGGGCGCAAGCCUGAUCCAGCCAUACCGCGUGGGUGAAGAAGGCCUUCGGGUUGUAAAGCCCUUUUGUUGGGAAAGAAAAGCAGCAGGUUAAUACCCCGCUGUUCUGACGGUACCCAAAGAAUAAGCACCGGCUAACUUCGUG